AAAUAUGACUAACAGAGUGGCAUGUACAAACUCAUCAGCCCUGCUAUAAUUCUUCCCUAGUAUAUGGAAAGAAAAUUGCAGUAGCAACAUUCUGGGAGUCUGUAGACUUAAUCUUUUUUGGUAGGCCUUGAAAGGGAGCCAGUGUCUCUCCAUGCCGAGUCAAUCAUUCGCUGUCCAAGUAAACUGAACUGAGAUCAUCUAGAUGCUGGUCUUCGUUUCUAAUGAGCUUUCACAGUAAAACAGGAAAUAAUAAUCUUGAAAGGGGAAAAAAAUGGUCAAAAAUCAGCCAGAGAACAUUUAAAGGUUUGUUCUGAACAAGCAGAGCUAAGAAAAAGGCCUGAGAAAAGUGUGUCCUGGGAUCACUCACAGUUAAAGCACUGAUUAAUUAAGCAGAGGGUCAUUCUUCAGAAAGACUCAAGGGCAGUUUUGGCCCUGGGGCUGUAAUUUGGACACUUCUGGAGUUCUAGAUACACUGAGCUAUUCUGUGCCGGGCCUGUGAAUAUGUGCAUUCUUCUGGCUGAACAAUGGCAUCUUUAUUCAAAUGGGAGCGACUAAGUUCAGCUCUGCCAGAGGUUAGAAAAGAGGUUGUUUGUCUGAAGAGACAAGGGUGUGGUGAAAAUACUCUGUGCCAGCCAAGUGAACCAAAACACAAUCUGAAUUACAAAGCAGGCUGGAAAAUAAAAUUCAACUGACAGAAGAUCUGGACCCCACCUGUGCUGAAAGACAGAGCGAAAAGGAGUCCCAGGAACUGGCCGUGUACAGCUCCUGGAGGAAUGCUGCUAUUGACCUAUUUUCUACAAUCAAGACAGAAGGGGGCAGGAGGGAAAAGUCUACACUCAGGUUUUUGCUAUUGGACACACUUCAUCCCUGAUAGGGCAUCUGCACUAUGAAGUUCACCCUGAAUGAAUGGGCAUUCAGGUGUCUUCACCUCCAGGAGACAGCACACAACUCUCAGGCUGAAUGAGCCCCAGCUGGAUAGUUUUUUUAAAAUCUCCAUGGGUAACAGACCUGGAAGACUUUUCCCUCAUGCUGGCCUGGGCUGAACACUUGGUGGUUCUUUUUAGAGCACUGUGCAAAGAGACAGAGAGAAAUUCUCCACUCGAUGUGUGAGCAUAUCUGCUAUUAAUGCUGAGGGGAGUUAAGUGUGUGCUUCUACAAGAGAAUGUACCCCAGUGUUCAAUACUGUAGGGUACCCUAUUAAAAAGGUGCAAGCAUGUUUAGCUCCAGCACAUGUGAUGCAUUCAAGGGCCAACUUCCUAAGAUUUUUUUUAAGUGAUUCAGAUCUUUUUUGGUCAGGUAAAAGUUCUGAUAUGAUUUCAGCCUAUAACUGUAUGGAGGGAAGUGGCUGAUGGACUGUCUUGCUCUCAUCUUGUGAAAAGUCUUCUUUUGUUAUUGUUGUGUUCAGCAUCAUACUUUCAAGAUGAAGUUAGAAAUGUAAGGAAUAAUUUCCUCCUCCUGAUACAUAAUUUUGACCAAGUCUGAAAUUCUACAGCACUUGCAGAACACUGGUGACAAAGGCUCCUUGGUGUUGUGUGUCUGCAAGACCUAUUCUGGUCACUGAUAUUUCCCCCAAAUCAUUCUUAAACAAAUUUUAAAGCUUUGUAAUUGGCCUGGCCCUGGAGAAUGACCAUGAAAUUCCCUUAACCCUUCUAGGGCACUUCAACAAGAGAAGUGCCCACACAAGAAACAGCAAACUGCUUUUCAAAGGCAAUAUCCUGAUAUGAAAACAGACAUAGAUAAUGUACUUCAUGAUGGAACUGCUUGAUACAGAGAAAAACAUGUUGUAACUGCUUUCACCGUGAAAGGGGUUUAAAAAUGCUGCCUGCCAACUCCACAAAACCCAGAGCUGCUAUUUCAGUUAAAGGCCAGUGGAUUGUAUUUUUCAUGUCAGUUUUCACUAACCUCAAACAUCACUGUUAUGACAGACCGUCAUCCAACCAAACUAGCACUCUGGUGCCAUUCAAGCAGGCAGGAAGAAAGCAAACACGAAGGAAACUUAAAAGUCCAAUUAGUAAGUGGGGGGUGCAUGUGAAUGAAUUACUUUUAUGUAAUGAUACUGAUUACUGAAAAUGAAACACUUAAAAGAAAAUAAACAAAAAGCAGUGCUUUCUGAGCCAGUGGUGUUUUCUUGGCUGGCAAUUUCUCUUUGUUCAGUUUCAUGACACCAGCCUCAAUGGUUGAAGGGGUGUUCUGGGCCAGAUGUCAAUCACAAUGUCUGACAUAAACAAAAAUAGCUAAAAAGGCACGCCAGCAUCUUCCUUUUGUUUUCCCAUUAGCUCCAUUUUUCUUUUCAUAGGCUGACAAAAAAUUACUGCCUCCAAGUGAAUUCAGUAAUGUCACUAUAUAUCUAAUAUCUAGGAGCCCUUUUGUUUUAGCUUUACUGGGCUUAACCACAAAAGACACUUGACAUUGACAAAGAAUCUGUCAAACAUACAAUGAUCAGUGCAAUGAAACCUCUCAUGACAGAAGGGCACUAUUCUGCUUCGCCCCCCCUGCCUCCAGCAGCAGCCUGUCUGAGCAAAAUAUGCUGGAGCACAUGUAGCAGCUGAACCAUUACAGAGCAGGCCAGAAGCUGAGAUGUGUCUUGUUUAAAUUGUCAUAGCAUAUUAGUAUAAUUAAAACCGCCAAAAGAGUAGAAAAGAUAGAUGGAAAUGUUACAUUACUUGUUUCUAGAGAUUAACCUCGAGCCAGAACUGAAACAGAGAGACACAUUUUGGAUUUCUUAGAGCUCUGAUAUGGAAGAAAACAAGCCCGAGAGUAUGUCUCUUGAAGUGUGAGACAUGAAGUCAUAGUUCCUGUAUUUACACAAUAAAGCAGAAAUAGUGUUCAGACAGACACUCUGUUUUCUCUGUGAUUACAGCUCCUGUUGUGGCUGUACUCUGCAAAGCAGUUGUGUCAUCUCUCAGCUACCUCCUUUUCACUCUCCUUUGCCUUCGUGCCUGCAAGGUCUUGACAGUCCUUGGGCCUGCUAACGAGCUGGUGUUACCGCUCUCCGCUCCCUCCCCGUCUCUGAGCUUGGCUGGUGCGUCAGGUGCCCAGCCCCGAAGCAGCACACAGUGUCCUGGCUGGUGGCUGCGGAGGCCAUGGCUUGGGCUCCGGGGCUCAGCAAUGCCUAGCAGCUGUGCUCGGGAAGUCCUCCUGCACAGGCUUCAUCCCCUGGGCAUGCCUGUGCCUGGGCGAGAGAAACAAACACCUACUGGAGGCAGGCACAGGUAGACCAGCCCUGAGACUGCUCUUGAAGUGCACAGGGGAGCCAGGCCGGAGCUGGGAGUCAGACUAAGAUUGUCUUCGCUUAGACUGUUUCUGCUUCUCAUUGCCAAGGAAGAUGCUCGAACAAUGGCUUCAAUUUAAAAUCUGAACUUUCAAAUGCCAAGCUCUAUGCUUGCUUCUGUGUUGAAUGGACAGAUAAAAACAUAUGGCUUUCUAAAAUUGACCCUGAAAAUUAUGUUAUCCUCACUGGAUGAGAUGUUUUCCUUCCCACGCAUCAUCACCUCUGAUAACUAUUCAGGACUAACUAGUAACGAUCCCAAUUUCUAAUUAUGCCCCAAGUUAUAUCUGGUGGUGAGAAACCGAUGGAGAACCUUCUGUGGAUCUGUUCAGUUGUAGAUGUUGGAACCUGAUUUAUCCAGAAGCUGGGGAGGACCUGAACUGGCUCCAGCAGUUCUGAAAGACAGCAAAAGCAGCACGGCUUUCCUCUGACAAAAGUGGUACAUUCAAGGAGAAGAUACAGGAAUCAGGUUCAUCUAAGUGAACAUAAAAUUCUUGAGAAGUUUAUUAAUUUCAAAUCACAAUAACAGAGUAAUUUCCAGGUCAGAUUUCCUAGAAGACGACUCAGUACCACGGACAAUCGCAUGGUCUAUUAAACAGAACAGUACGGUUUGUGGAAAAGAUAAUAGUCCAGAUCACGAGAUAGCACCAGAUUUUACGUUAUGACCUCCAGAUGUCUUUGGGAACUUAAUGCAUCCAGCAUUAGUUCAAGUCUAAUCUGCAUGGCAGAAAUGCGAGUUGUUCCAAUUUUCUCCUCUCUGGGGCUGUGUGGAGAAACUGUCUCCCUAAGGGCUGCAGAGGACAGGCUGGGGUAGUUUGGCCAUGCUUUGGUAAAAAUAUUCACUGCAUUGCCAACUGCUCCUGGACUGCCCAGUGGUAUCACGUGCUGAAAAGAAAAGGUUUCAUCUUUGCUUAGUGGGACAGCGCUGUGCCCAGGUCUUUCUGAUACAUGCCCGUCAGAGCUGGCUCUACGCGUUGGCCAAGCAGGCAAUUAUUUAGGGCAGCAAAGUGAUUGUGGCCUCACUGCCUGCUUCAUCCGUGCUUCCAGAGCGCUGGAGAAGCAGGCGGGCAUUGUGCUGCUGCUUUGGAGAGAAGAGUUUGCCUGAAGGACAGGAAAGUCCCACCUGGCAGUGUCCACGUUCCCAUCUGGCUGCAGAAAGCUGGUGAGUCUGCCCCUGACUGCCUCCACACAGACAGAACAGGCCUCCCUGUGCUGUCCCCAGCCCUACGCUUUGAAAGCACCAGCGUUCCCUUUUGCUUCCAAUGCUGAAAAGCCCUGAGUUACAGCAGCUUGUCACAACUGUCAGGCUUCUGUGACAACCUUAUUGUAUCAUUCUAAGCAGUGCGUGUUGAUUCACUGGAGAGAGGGUGGACUUUGCCAAAUUGAGGCAUCAUUUACUUGCUUAGAAGCUCCUGAAGUGAGUGUCUCUGCAACGGGAAGGCAGCUCCGCUGCUGUUUCCAGGGUGCAACUUUGGAGUUCAAUACAUUCCCCUGAGCGUCUGCUGUAAAACAAUGUAUUGCAUCAGUUCCCUGAACCAGGGACUGGGUGAAGUCCACAGUAUGGUGGUGUUGAGUGAGGGACAAAAUCACCCCAGGGGAUUUCCAGCGCUUUGCAGGGCAGCCCAGUAUCCUGCUGUGCCCAGAGGGGCCACAGAUGUCCAGGAGCUUCUGGUGGGUCACAUGUACCUAUAAACAUGAUACAGUAUUUGCUCCAUUGCAUUCCUGGUGGAGAGCACUUUGUACUGGUAGAGGUAGAUGGUGGGGGAUAACAAUGCAAGGAUCUGCCAGUGCAUUUCCUUUUCAAUUUCAGCACCAUUGGGCUGGGAAGUAAAAAAGAGCUCUGCAAACAGAACAAGUGUCUGACAUGACACUGCAACAUAAAAAAAAGCUCAUGGCUACUUUUCCUCCAUGGAAAUCUGUACAAAAAUUGACAAUUUGGGACUUUGUGAGUUUCUCUCUGGAGUCAAAAAUUCAGUGUGAGUGCACAAAAGAGUGUGAGGAGAGAGCAUUUUGGCUCCUUCAACCCUGUGCAGAAAACCUCCCAGGGUUUCAGAUAGGAUUUUAGCAUUUCUUGCAGUCUUCAAAUGUUGUGCUGUGCAAGGAUGUGCUUAUACAUAAUUUUGUAAUUGAAAUGGCAUGUUUACUGUUCUAUUUCAUGCUUGAUUGUGUUUUUUAAACACCUUUACUCACGCUGUUAGAAGUGGGAUUAUAAUUAAAAUGUCCUGUUGAACACCUUGUUCAGUUCAAUGAAGGCGUAAUAGAAGUAUAAAUACUUGUUCUCGUUGACUCUGUGAUGUCAGCACAACAAACACAGUAAAUGUCAUAAACCAAAUCUCUCUUUCGCCAAAGCAUCCGUCAGAAGGGAAGGGGAAACAAUCUGCAGCUGGGCAAUGAGGGGACCUCUUUUUUGUUACCACCGAUGAUGAGAUGCGUACCCAUCCUGGCAGGCGAUUGUUCAGUCUUAAGGAACUUUAAAUUACUUCACAGCUUGAAAUUCCAGAGCUACCAAAACCAGCUUUAUCGGAGUGAAAGGCACCUGGAAGUACUGGAUGUCCCAGAGGAAUUCAGCCAGAGGGACGCGCAGGUCUGAGAGACUUUGCGGCUAAGGUUGUGUUCCAGUGACUGGUACUUUUGUGGGCUUGCAGGUUUCUUCCCGUGCCAUGGGAGAGGAAAAUGAUGCGUGGAAUUUGUGGUAGAUGAUACAAAUGACUGCCCGAUUGUGUAAAACCUUAAAUAGGUCUUUAGAGAUGAGACCCUCAAGUGUUGUGUGACUCUAUGGAUCACACAACAGCACUUAGGUACGGGGAGUCUGGAGAGACAAGUGGGAAGUCUUUGCAGAAAAGACUGCAUCGACAUUUAGACAAAAAUAUAGCUCUGCGAGGUACAUGCCACUUGCAGCAUUGACCUGGGUAAACCUUUUGUUCGCUUGGUACCGACUGCUGCUGUUAUUCACACGGAUGCAAAAUCACAAGCAGGCGGCUCGGUAGGGUUUUAGGUGGGCGCACCCAGACCCCCAGGCCGGGCCUGCGGGGCUGCCCAGGGAGCAGGUCGGACUCGGCGCACGCAGGGUGGCAGAAAGGGGCUCUUUUCACGAUUAGUCCCUGCAAUAUUUUAUAUUUUUAACAAAUUUACAGCAUAGAGCAGCACUAGCCUCAGGAGGUUGACAAGGCGGUUAAAUGCAUGCAGACAAGGUGCUCCCUCCAAGCAAGCAGGCAGGCUUUGUUAACACCUGUAAGGUUAAAAACCUGCCUUCACACUGUACUUGAGAAAGCAAAUAACGCCGUGUAAAGCGGCAGCCGUAACACCACAGCCCCGGGGCCCACCCUGUAGCGGGACGGCGACAGCCACGUCCGCUGUCCCCAGCGACGGCGGCCCGAGGCCCCUGGGGCUCGGGCAGGGCCCCCCUCGCCCCCCCUCCCCGCCUCCCGGGCUCGAGCAGAGCCCAUCGCCGCGGCCGGGCCCCCACCGCCGCGGCCGGGCCCCCACCGCCGC